GGUCCUUCCUCUGCACGGCCGUCCACUUGACCUCCCUGCUUUGCCCGUGAGACUUUGCCUUUAUUUUUCCCUCAGUUUGAGGCGCUUUUUGUUUGCUGUUCUCAGCCCUUUUUUCCCUCGUGUUGAGGAGCUUUUGUUUAUGCCCUUUUUCCCUCAUGUUGAGGCGCUUUUGUUUUUGCGCUUUUUCCCUCAUCGUGAGGCGUCUUUUGUUCUUGGAGCUGUUGGCAACGAAGGAAAUAAAAAGGAAAUAAAUAAUCAAAGCCUGACAGCUGUGAUUAUUUACGGCAAUGGGUCCCAUUUUAUUAGUCUUUGGUAUGACCUGGCUGGGUUUUGAACUCAUAACCUUCCAGUUUCAGGGUGGACACUACCACUAGGCCACAGAGCUGGAGCUUUUGUGUUGUGUUUAGUUUCUAUAAACUUUUAGCUUUUUUUUUUUUUAAACUAUUUUAGCAGAUGCACUGAUUGUUUGGCAUUUUUAAUUUUGUUGUACAUGUGACAAUAAAGAUCUAUUUAUCCAUCUGUGUAACUAAUGAAGUUGUGACGCUAUGCCCAAACUGCUUUUUUUUUACUCCACCACGCAUUAAAGCGGGUGGAGAAGCCAAGCUGCCUUCGUUACAGCAAACCUGAAGACAGAGAACGAAGCGGUCGUAAGAGUGGCCGUGUGGAGGGAGGCGACCUUGACCCCGAUCAAGGUUGGGGCCUUCUACACGUUCUCGCUCCUUAGUGCCGUGACAAAUGAUUUCGGCCUGUCCCUCAAUACGACCCAGUAUUCAAAGAUAUCGGGCUACAAUACAACUGUAAGCUUGGUGGCUAUUGGGCUAAUGAUGGAGGAGGAGGAGGAGGUCAAGUUGGUGGAUGGGGAGGGGGUCGAAACCACAAUUGCCUUGAGUGUAUGGACCAAGACUUUCGUUGAGCCACCAAAAUUACCAGAAGAUGGACUCCAAUUGAAACUCAUUUAUUCGGAGGGUGAAGUGGUGGAAAUUUGCAAAUAAAUUUUAUUUUGCCAA